rnacentral:rRNA from 1 species
GACGAACGCUGGCGGCGCGCCUAACACAUGCAAGUCGAACGAGCGAGAGAGAGCUUGCUUUCUCGAGCGAGUGGCGAACGGGUGAGUAACGCGUGAGGAACCUGCCUCAAAGAGGGGGACAACAGUUGGAAACGACUGCUAAUACCGCAUAAGCCCACGACCCGGCAUCGGGUAGAGGGAAAAGGAGCAAUCCGCUUUGAGAUGGCCUCGCGUCCGAUUAGCUAGUUGGUGAGGUAACGGCCCACCAAGGCGACGAUCAGUAGCCGGACUGAGAGGUUGAACGGCCACAUUGGGACUGAGACACGGCCCAGACUCCUACGGGAGGCAGCAGUGGGGAAUAUUGCACAAUGGGGGAAACCCUGAUGCAGCGACGCCGCGUGGAGGAAGAAGGUCUUCGGAUUGUAAACUCCUGUUGUUGAGGAAGAUAAUGACGGUACUCAACAAGGAAGUGACGGCUAACUACGUG